rnacentral:lncRNA from 1 species
GCAGCAAGGCCACAUCCAGAGUGCUCUAAUAAACCAUGACUAGUUUUGCUGACAUAUAGAAAAACCCUUGUCCUGAUUGUAGUAUUUCUUACUAAUAGUGAAAUUGGAAUCUAUACACAAGUGCUACUUGAAUUCGUCCCUGUAAAUAAUGGAUAUAGAUGGUGCAGGACAAGGAUUCUGGUCUCCUAGUAAGCAAGACUUCAUCGGUGUGCAAGGUGGCUGCACAAGCCAAACAGAUUCUACAGCUGAAGGAUGAUUGACAACUGCUGUAGAAAAUGAUUUUACAGUCAUAAAACAUCUUUUUAUCAGAUGACUAUUUGUCAGAUGAUGAGCUCCUACGAGACCUGGACUAGACACCACCCGCAAGCAUUAAACAGGUUUUCACAGCUUCUUUAUGAUGAUUUGUUGCUGAAAUUCCUCUUCAGGUCUAACUUUCCAGAAGGGCACAGCUUAGAGAGCAUAUAUGUGGUUUAUAAAGAUAUGUGAUAUGAGGAGUUCCUUGAAUACAGAGGAUGUUCUGAUCUUCAGCUUACUCUAUAAAUAUGAAAUCCUUCAAGCAAAAGUCUUUUUUAAUAGCUGCAGAGAAGUGUCUGUCUCUUUGUUCCAUGCCAGAAAGUUGCUUCAUUGAUUUACAUUGCACUGGAAAAAAUGUAAAGGGACCGAUUUGUUAAAUAUUUUAACUGUGAUGUGUUGCAUCUGUACAUUACAUAGAAAGUAAUAAAAUAUGG